rnacentral:rRNA from 1 species
UUUAAUUCGAAGCAACGCGAAGAACCUUACCAGGUCUUGACAUCCCUCUGACCGCUCUAGAGAUAGAGUUUUCCUUCGGGACAGAGGUGACAGGUGGUGCAUGGUUGUCGUCAGCUCGUGUCGUGAGAUGUUGGGUUAAGUCCCGCAACGAGCGCAACCCCUAUUGUUAGUUGCCAUCAUUGAGUUGGGCACUCUAGCGAGACUGCCGGUAAUAAACCGGAGGAAGGUGGGGAUGACGUCAAAUCAUCAUGCCCCUUAUGACCUGGGCUACACACGUGCUACAAUGGCUGGUACAACGAGUCGCAAGCCGGUGACGGCAAGCUAAUCUCUGAAAGCCAGUCUCAGUUCGGAUUGUAGGCUGCAACUCGCCUACAUGAAGUCGGAAUCGCUAGUAAUCGCGGAUCAGCACGCCG